rnacentral:rRNA from 1 species
AACGAACGCUGGCGGCAGGCCUAACACAUGCAAGUCGAGCGAGGACUUCGGUUCUAGCGGCGGACGGGUGAGUAACGCGUGGGAAUGUGCCCUUCUCUACGGAAUAGCCCUGGGAAACUGGGAGUAAUACCGUAUACGCCCUUUUGGGGAAAGAUUUAUCGGAGAAGGAUCAGCCCGCGUUGGAUUAGGUAGUUGGUGGGGUAAUGGCCUACCAAGCCGACGAUCCAUAGCUGGUUUGAGAGGAUGAUCAGCCACACUGGGACUGAGACACGGCCCAGACUCCUACGGGAGGCAGCAGUGGGGAAUCUUAGACAAUGGGGGCAACCCUGAUCGAGCCAUGCCGCGUGAGUGAUGAAGGCCUUAGGGUUGUAAAGCUCUUUCAGCUGGGAAGAUAAUGACGGUACCAGCAGAAGAAGCCCCGGCUAACUCCG